AAAAAAAAAAAAAAAAAAAAAACCUAGUAGGUAGAGUCAUAGCUUACAAUUAAAUAAAUAACGAUGGAUGUGUUGAAAACGCGUUUAUGCAUGAUUCAUGAAUUGUAUAUACGAGAGCAGCCGAGGAGGAGAUAAAGAGAGGGGUCUACAAUGAUCAAUACUAACUUAAUUUUGUAGUGUUGUCAGUCAAUAAUGUAUACCUAUCAAAAUGGGGCCUAUAUUCC